rnacentral:rRNA from 1 species
GGAGGAAAGCAGGGGAUCGUAAGACCUUGCGCUUUUGGAGCGGCCGAUGUCUGAUUAGCUAGUUGGUGAGGUAAAGGCUUACCAAGGCUUCGAUCAGUAGCUGGUCUGAGAGGACGACCAGCCACACUGGGACUGAGACACGGCCCAGACUCCUACGGGAGGCAGCAGUGGGGAAUUUUGGACAAUGGGGGCAACCCUGAUCCAGCCAUGCCGCGUGAGUGAAGAAGGCCUUCGGGUUGUAAAGCUCUUUCAGCCGGAACGAAACGGUCACGGUUAAUAACUGUGAUCACUGACGGUACCGGAAGAAGAAGCACCGGCUAACUACGUGCCAGUAGCCGCGGUAAUACGUAGGGUGCGAGCGUUAAUCGGAAUUACUGGGCGUAAAGCGUGCGCAGGCGGUUUUGUAAGUCAGAUGUGAAAUCCCCGGGCUUAACCUGGGAACUGCGUUUGAAACUACAAGGCUAG